AUACGGAGGGGGCAAGCGUUGUUCGGAAUUAUUGGGCGUAAAGCGUAUGUAGGCGGCCUGUUAAGUGUGGAGUGAAAUCCCACGGCUCACCCGUGGAACUGCUCUGCAUACUGGCAGGCUCGAGGACGGUAGGGGAGAGCGGAACUCUUGGUGGAGCGGUGAAAUGCGUAGAUAUCAAGGGGAACACCGAUGGCGAAGGCAGCUCUCUGGUCCGUUUCUGACGCUGAGGUGCGAAAGCUAGCGUAGCGAACGGGAUUAGAAACCCCAGUAGUCC
rnacentral:rRNA from 1 species